UUAUUUCUUUGAGAGAGACAGAGAGAAUGUGAGCCAGGGAGGAGCCGAGGGAGGAGAGAAUCUCAAGCAGACUCUGCACUGACUGCAGAGGCCCAUGCGGGGCUCUAUCUCAAGACUCUGAGAUCAUGAACUGAGCCAAAAUCGAGUCAGUGGCUCAACCAAAUGAGGUACCCAGGCACCCCCAAAGUGAGCUCCAGUUCUAAAGCUGUGAUGUUUAAGCUUUAUUGAAUACCAGAAUCAUGGUAGGGCUAAGCUCCACCUCAGAGUUUCUAGAUCACUAGGUGGAGAAUUUAUAAUUCUAGCAAGUCCCCAGGAGAUGCAGGGCCUGGCACAACCAUACUCUGAAAACUAGUGCUCUGAACUUGUCUAUAUUUUAUCUGUAUGUACCUCUCAGAUAGCACAUUCUUCCUUGUAUUAAAGUUACUUAUGUGUGUUUUUAAAUUACACACUGGACAAUAAUCUCCCUUCUUUCUUCUUCUUAUAGUUUUUAUCUAACAAAGUGCUUGGAAACGGCAAAUAUUUGGUGAAUGUUUAUGGAAUAAAAUUGGUCUGGUCAGCAUACACUGUAACUCUACAACAUGCUCCAGGGAGAAGAUCUAAAUGAAUCAUUAGACUAAUCAGGAAUGACGAUUAUAAAACUUACAGACCCUGGGUAAAUAGCUAGUCCAGCAUUUCCCAAACUGUGUCCUAUGACACAUCACGUUAUGACCUAUGAAUAGGUGUGCAUCUAUUUUAGGAAAUGCAGGUUGAACAAAGGUGAACAGAUUUGUUAAUUUAGAACUUCGUGGAGUCUUCUGUAUGCACCAAAAUAAACGUUCCCCCUCUCUCAUCCUUAGUCAUCUCUAAUAAUUUAUCCCACUUUGCUGUCUCCUUGUGAAAGCACAGUAUCUGUUGUUUAUCUACAGUGGCAAAAAUAAAGUUCCCUGACACACGGUCAGAAUUCAGUGAAUACCUGUUGCACACACAAAUAUACUACACAAACUGUGAUUCUAAGCACAGUUCCUAAAAUCUAUUUUAUUAUUAAUUUACUCCCCAUCCCCCAUGCCCCCACAACAGGCACCUACAGGAGAAGAAAGGGUAUUUUCUAGAAUACAAUUGGGGAGACAUUGACUGAAUCCAAGCUAGACACUGUGGCCCAGACAGGUCCAACAGCUGCCUGGAAAGCUUCAGAGGUGGGAUGUAAUCCCAGGAUUCUUCAAAUGAGUUCAUUAUUCUUCCUACACCAUAUCACUGGGUAUGGCUUCCCAUUUCAACUAAGCUGGGAGUUAUCCUUGAAGAAAUGGCUUCAAUACUUGUUAUAUAAACACAUCUCCAUGUUCCAACUUAAGAAUGAGAUAACUGGGUGCCUGGGUGGCUCAGUUGGUUAAGCAUCUGUCUUCAACUCAGGUCAUGAUCCCAGGGUCCUGGGAUCAAGCUCCACAUUGGGCUCUUUGCUCAGCAGAGUGUCUGCUUCUCCCUCUCCCUCUGCCACUCUGCCUGCUUGUGUUCUCUCCGUCUCUCUGUCAAAUAAGUAAAAUCUUAAAAAAAAAUAGUUUGGUUCUUAAAAAAAAAAAAAAAAAAAGAAUGAGACAACUGUUCCAUAGUUGGCUACGCUCUUCUCUUUUCUCAUUAAAAAGAAAAACAAACAGGGGCGCCUGGCUUAGUCAGUGAAGUGCACAACUCUUGAUCUUGGGGUCGUGAGUUCUAGUUGGGUGUACAUAUAACUUAAAAAUAAAAUCUUGGGCAGCCUGGGUGGCUCAGCGGUUUGGUGCCACCUUCGGCCCAGGGUCUGAUCCUGGAGACCCAGGAUCGAGUCCCACGUUGGGCUCCCUGCAUGCAGCCUGCUUCUUCUUCUGCCUGUGUCUCUGCCUCUCUCUGUGUGUGUGUCUCUCAUGAGUAAAGAAAUAAAAUCUUUAAAAAAUAAGUAAAUAAAAUCUUUAAAAAAGAACAGAAUUUUCAAAGACUAUAAAUGGCAAAGACUGGCACGAGGGGAAGAACUUUAUUAAUGCUAAGUAAUCAUCCACAUAGUCUCAUAGUUUUUGUUAUCUAUUUUCACUAAAGUGAGUGGUAUAAAGCAGUUUGCCAAAUCCAAAGUAUCCUUGAGAUGCAAAACCUAAAACCAAAUUCAUAUACACUCCUCCCUGGAAAAUCCUACUUCUCUGCUUGAGCCCCACGUCUAAGCAGAGCUUUAUAAGCAAAAAGAGUAUUUCAUUGACCAGAAUAUGAUUAUCACCCUCUGCCAGUCUACACAAGGACAAAAAUCCCAAACCAAAGCCUCCAGUUGGUUCUGCCAACCAGCCAAGCAGACCAUUACCCAAACCCAAUCUUUUUAUUUACUAUAAUAUACGGUUAAUUCUCAUUUUUUUUCCAGUGGUGCAAAUCUUUCUAUUGUCUAAAAGUGUCUCUCAGGAGAAAAGUCAAUCAGCAUGAAGCAAGUGUAAUUCAAGGUGGCUCUGAGAAAAAUGGAAGAUUCAGCCACACAGCGGCAGUGUUAUGAAUACCCUCCUUUAUUUUCUCCCCAGGUGCUAGAAAUAUUUCCAUACAACACUGGUUAAUGUCAAGUAUCAUUUCAUCAGUAAAUGCUUCAAAUUCAGGGGUAAUUCAACCAGAGGCUAUCAGGAGGAAAGAUUAUCAUGUUGUUCAAGCCUUUUAAAAAAUCAUUUCUCCCUCUGGAGAAAGAAAUUCGUCACAGGGUAAAAGAAAAAAAAAUGUAUGAAGAGGAUAUAAUUUGCUCCUAUGCUUGGCUGUCUAAGAAAAUGUUCCAGAAAAAUGCAUGAUUUCAAUUUUUCUCUGGUGGGUCUUGCUGACAGAAACCAAAGGGUAAAUACAUUAGUAUUCACUUAUACUCAAGAUUUCUUUAAAAAAGAAGAAUAGCAAGGGGAAAAAAAAAACCCAAUAUUUUCCAAAUAACAGCAUUUACUAUGGAAUAACCGCCUGAGAGAGAAAAGAAUCCAGUUUCAAAUGGAACAAUGUCUUUAAACAGUGUUCAUUCCAAGGGUUAGGGAGACAGAAUGCAGGUGAGGGAACAAGCUGCCCUCUGCUUGCUAUAUUCUGAUACAAUCCACAUUCACUACCAUGCUAAGUCCCUGCGGUCCGUCCACUUUCCAAAAGUUGACAUCCUUUUCACCAUCCCAAUGGCCAUUGUCCUUUAAAAGUGAUUUUCCUUCAAGGAAAAGUAUAUAGUAAAAUCAGGAAUCAGGAAAGCAGAAUGAGGCGGAGCUUCCCUCAGCACAUCCUUUUCCUGCCCUGGUGAGUGGUGGUAAUGUCAGGGCAAGACGGAAGUCAACACAUCUGUGAAAGGGCUGUGGCGGGAGGCGACGGACCCAGAGCCCCAAUCUAAUAGGGGAAAGGAAGUAUCAGGUUUCCCUUUUCCAAAAGAUCUGAACUGCCAAAGGAAGAUGUGAUAAAUGACAGAACAUCCUCAAGACUGCAGAUGACUUUUGGGAGAAUAUAAUUCAAUUCCAAAUGUCUCCAAGGGUACACACGGGAUCAGGUCUUACUCUGGACCAAGUAGCCCACAAGCUCCAGACGGCAGUUCCAGAAACGUAGGUGUGUUUGGCUAAAUGUUUCCCCAGAAGGGAAAGCAGCAGCACCAAGCCCUGUAUACUGUUCACAGUAUAGAACCACAAAAUGAAUCUAAUGAGAAAAGAGAUACACGCUCAACACGGUACAACAGGCUAAUGCUAAUAUGUCACCUCACGGAGGCUGGGGAAUGGCAGAUAAGACUGGGGGACAAAGAAUACAAGGAAUAUGUGUGCAAGAAAUAAGGAAACAAUAUAUCAGGAAAUUGGUGAGAAUUGAAAAAAAAGUAUCUCAAGACAGCAAUCCUGAUAAACUCAAAAAGGAGAAGAGAUAACAAAACAGCUUGACAUAUGAAAGAGGAACACGCUAGGGAGAGAGGUAGAAAUUACAUUAUAGGAAGAGGCAAGUCAGGAAUGCCUGGGUGGCACAGUGGUUGAGCGUCUGCCUUCCACUCAGGGCAUGAUCCUGGGUUCCUGGGAUCGAGACCCACACCAGGCUCCCUGCAUGGAGCCUGCUUCUCCUUCUGCCUAGUCUCUGCCUCUCUCUGUGUGUCUCUCAUGAAUAAAUAAAGUCUUAAAAAAAAAAAAAAAGGAAGAAGCAAAGAAGAUUAUUUGGGACUAGGCAACAAUAAGCGUUGCCAGGAUUUUAAAGAGCUCACAUGUGGGUCAGGAAAUGCUGUCUGGAAGUUUGCUGACAGUCCAGAAAUCUUGUCAGUCACGUCUCCUCACAUUGCCAUUGCUGACAACUGUGUCUUAGCAAACAAGGCAAAAAUGCAAAUCUGGCUCCUUCAGCUCUCCCACACUCCCCAUUAAGCCUAUUUAUUAUUGACUGAUGGGUUUAUGCCGACGUGGCCUGUAUUAGUACCCCGUGCUAAUGAGACCAGGGUCACAGGUUCAAUCCCACAGGGGGCUACACACAGGUCUACGCCUGAGAACAGGUCAACAAGAAUAGGUGAGCAUCAACUACUCUCCAUCUCGACUACAAAGUCAAAACUACAGAAUCAGGCAUCGGUGGAGUCCCGAUGUUCACUUAAGAAAACAUAUCUCUUCAGAGGGGCAAGACAUCUGGAGACAUUUCUGAGGAUACAGAAUGAAGGAGUGAUCAAAGAACCUCUGAGAACCUGGUUAGCAAUUCUCAGCAUAACCAAUCUGAGCCCUACUACUGGAUCCAGGACAGGCUGAUUCUCCCAAAGCAGCCAUAAAUGGAUUAAGUGAGAGAUCACUCAGUGCAUCAUAGCUGGCCUGACAAGAGCUGUGCCUUCUAGAGGUGCUGCCACACAGAAAAGGCAAAGGCCGAGGGCAAAGCCUAUCUGUGGAGAAUACCUGCUAAGCACACACAGACAAGGCUGAUCACGUGAGCUCCGCCUAAGAGAUACUGAAGUACUUUCUGCGUCUCUGUGAAUACUACUACACACUGCAAUUUUGAAAGAAUUAGGAGCCAGUGUGGUGGGUGUGCCUAAUGAGGUGGCUUCCUGAGAUACUCCCUCACCCCCCUUCCUGGAAUCCUGAUACUGUUUUUGAAACUGAAAGCCAGACAUGAGAAAGGCAGUCAAAUGUACUAGGUUCAAAAAGAAAAUGAAUAUAUAAGAACCCAGUGAGAUCAGCUCCAGGGCUGAUCCAAAAAUGGGGGUGGAGUAGAUCAAAGUUCAUGGCCAAUGGGGAAAAGGAAGGUGUCUCCAAGGUCUAGGCACUGGUUGCCUGUGAAGAGAUGACAGUAACCCUAUAGCAUCAACCUCUUGGCCAGCCUUACACAUCACUCUUGCACCUCCAUAGCAUUCUCCUACAACCACCCAGUCACAUACUUAAAGCCUGAGCAUCUCCUACCCCUCCUGGCUCACUGCAACAUCUUCCCUGGCUUUCAGGAUUGCAAAGACCAAAACUGUCAACAUGCUUGAGAAAGGUCUGACGAAUUUGGCCCUGACUUCUUCCCUAUCAUCUCUAACCACUCAGCUUUCCAGUCACACUGGCCUUUGUUCGGUUCCUGAUAGACCACCUCCCGCCUCAGCCUCAGGUGGUUUUUUCAUGUUGUUACACCUGAGUUCUGCUCUCUUCCCAUUCUUGGUUUCCCAUCAUGGAAACAAUAUGCACAUGGUCAGUAACCCCAAUUUCUAUAUCCUUAUACCCCUAUCCUAAGGGAACAUUUCUCUGGUGCUCAAGGUGAGCUGUGGCCUCUUGUUAGAUGUCCUUACAGCACCCAGGACCUUUCCUUCGUACCCUUUUACCACUAAAUUAUAUUUUAGCAAGACUAUUUCAUUACUAUCUGCUAUCCCAAUUUGACUGUAAACUAUCUGAAGGAAGGAAUUAUCUCCGAUGGUCACCAUCAUUCCACACCUGC
rnacentral:lncRNA from 1 species